GCAGAGAGGGAGCGCGCCUUGGCUCGCUGGCCUUGGCUGCGGCUCCUCGGGAGAGCUGGGGCGCCCACGAGAGGAUCCCUCACCUGGGUCUCUCCUCAGGGAUGACAUCAUCCGUCCACCUCCUUGUCUUCAAGGACCACCUCCUCUCCAUGCCGAGCUGCUGCCAAGGGGCCUGCUGCCCAUCUACACCUCACGAGGGCACUAGGAGCACGGAUUCCUGGAUCCCACCAACAUACAAAGCAGCCACUCACAGACCCCCAGGACCAGGAUGGCAAAGGAUGAAGAGGACCGGAACUGACCUGCCAGCUGUCCCUCUUACCUAAAGACUUAAACCAAUGCCCUAGUGAGGGGGCAUUGGACAUUAAGCCCUGACUUUUGCUAUGCUCAUGCUUUGACUCUAUGAGUACUUUCCUAUAAGUCUUCGCUUGUGUUCACCUGCUAGCAAACUGGAGUGUUUCCCUCCCCAAGGGGGUGUCAGUCUUUGUCGACUGACUCUGUCAUCACCCUUAUGAUGUCCUGAAUGGAAGGAUCCCUUUGGGAAAUUCUCAGGAGGGGGACCUGGGCCAAGGGCUUGACCAGCAUCCUGCUGGCAACUCCAAGGCCCUGGGUGGGCUUCUGGAAUGAGCAUGCUACUGAAUCACCAAAGGCAUGCCCCACCUCUCUGGAGAUCUUCCUAUCCUUUUCUGGGGAAUGGGGUCAAUGGGAGCAACCUCCUAGGGUUGUUGUGAGAAUUAAAUGAGAUAAAAGAGGCCUCAGGCAGGAUCUGGCAUAGAGGAGGUGAUCAGCAAAUGUUUGUUGAAAAGGUUUGACAGGUCAGUCCCUUCCCACCCCUCUUGCUUGUCUUACUCGUCUUAUUUAUUCUCCAACAGCACUCCAGGCAGCCCUUGUCCACGGGCUCUCCUUGCAUCAGCCAAGCUUCUUGAAAGGCCUGUCUACACUUGCUGUCUUCCUUCCUCACCUCCAAUUUCCUCUUCAACCCACUGCUUCCUGACUCGCUCUACUCCGUGGAAGGGCACUCACAAAGGUUCCCAGUGCCCCCGACAAGCCCCUGCUGGUGUCUCCAUCUCCUGCCAAGCAUCCUGCAAUGCCGCCUCCUGUGGGCCUGGCCUCAGGGCUAUGGACAGACUCCUGUCCCAUCCCAGAGACCCCUCGUGAUCGUGCCCUGGCACGUGGGCCGCGGCCCAGCUGGGUCGGCUGAAGAACUGCGGAUGGAAGCUGUGGAAGAGGCCCUGAUGGGGCCCACCAUCCCGGACCCGAGUCUUCUUCCUGGAGGGCCUCUCGUCUCCUUCCUGUUUUGGGCGGAAGCCAUCACCUGGAUUCCUACGUGGGAAGGGACCUCGAAUGUGCGACCCCAGCCCCUCUCCAGCUCGAAAUCCCUCCACAGCCACGGGGACGCCCUGCACCUAUUCCCACGGGACAGGCUGGACCCAGAGACUCUGGACCCGGGGCCUCCCCUUGAGUAGAGACCCGCCCUCUGACUGAUGGACGCCGCUGACCUGGGGUCAGACCCGAGGGCUGGACCCCUGCCCACCCCGCAGGAACCCUGAGGCCUAGGGGAGCUGUUGAGCCUUCAGUGUCUGCAUGUGGGAAGUGGGCUCGUUCACCUACCUCACAGGGCUGUUGUGAGGGGCGCUGUGAUGCGGUUCCAAAGCACAGGGCUUGGCGCACCCCACUGUGCUCUCAAUAAAUGUGUUUCCUGUCUUAACAAAAA
rnacentral:lncRNA from 1 species